GUCCCUGUAGAGCAUUGGAUAGCGCGUUGGACUUCUUACCCAAAAGUAGUGGGAUCGAAUCCCACCUGGGAUG